AAUGAACGUUGGCGGCGUGGAUUAGGCAUGCAAGUCGUACGCACAGCUUCGGCUGUGAGUGGCGCAAGGGUGAGUAAUGCGAAGGUAACCAACCCUGGUGUUGGGCAUAACCGCGGGAAACUGCGGGUAAUUCCCAGCGACGUCGCGAGAUGGCAUCAUCUUGCGACCAAAGGUGUGAUUCCGCUCUAGGACGGGCCUUCGUGGUAUUAGGUAGUUGGUGAGGUAACGGCUCACCAAGCCGACGAUGCCUUACCGGGUGUGAGAGCAUGACCCGGCACACUGGAACUGAGACACUGUCCAGACACCUACGGGUGGCUGCAGUCGAGAAUCUUCGGCAAUGGGCGAAAGCCUGACCGAGCGACGCCGCGUGAGGGAAGAAGGCCUUCGGGUCGUAAACCUCUUUCGUAGAGGAGGAAGGGGCCGUGCAGAGCGGUCUUUGACCUAUUCUAGGAAGAAGCUUGGGC
rnacentral:rRNA from 1 species